AUUGAACGCUGGCGGAAUGCUUUACACAUGCAAGUCGAGCGGCAGCGCGGGGGCAACCCUGGCGGCGAGCGGCGAACGGGUGAGUAACACAUCGGAACGUACCCAGUCAUGGGGGAUAGCCCGGCGAAAGCCGGAUUAAUACCGCAUACGACCUGAGGGUGAAAGUGGGGGAUCGCAAGACCUCACGUGAUUGGAGCGGCCGAUGGCGGAUUAGCUAGUUGGUAGGGGAAAGGCCUACCAAGGCGACGAUCCGUAGCGGGUCUGAGAGGACGGCCCGCCACACUGGAACUGAGACACGGUCCAGACUCCUACGGGAGGCAGCAGUGGGGAAUUUUGGACAAUGGGCGAAAGCCUGAUCCAGCCAUUCCGCGUGAGUGAAGAAGGCCUUCGGGUUGUAAAGCUCUUUCGGCAGGAACGAAACGGUCUUUUCUAAUACAAGAGGCUAAUGACGGUACCUGAAGAAGAAGCACCGGCUAACUACGUGCCAGCCGCCGCCGUAA
rnacentral:rRNA from 1 species